UACGGGGGGGGCAAGCGUUGUUCGGAAUUACUGGGCGUAAAGGGCGCGUAGGCGGCCUUCUAAGUCGGACGUGAAAUCCCUCGGCUUAACCGAGGAAGUGCAUCCGAAACUGCUGAGCUUGAGUACUUAAGAGGAUCGCGGAAUUCCCGGUGUAGAGGUGAAAUUCGUAGAUAUCGGGAGGAACACCAGUGGCGAAGGCGGCGAUCUGGGAAGAUACUGACGCUGAGGUGCGAAAGCGUGGGGAGCAAACAGG
rnacentral:rRNA from 1 species